rnacentral:rRNA from 1 species
GACCAGACUCCUACGGGAGGCAGCAGUGAGGAAUAUUGGUCAAUGGCCGGAAGGCUGAACCAGCCAAGCCGCGUGAGGGAGGAAGGCGCAGAGCGUCGCAGACCUCUUUUGCCGGGGGACAAAAGGCCGGACUCGCCCGGUCCUGAGGGUACCCGGAGAAAAAGCAUCGGCUAACUCCGUGCCAGCAGCCGCGGUAAUACGGAGGAUGCGAGCGUUAUCCGGAUUCAUUGGGUUUAAAGGGUGCGUAGGCGGAAUGCCAAGUCAGCGGUAAAAUUGCGGGGCUCAACCCCGUACUGCCGUUGAAACUGCAUCCCUUGAGUGCGCGAGAAGUAUGCGGAAUGCGUGGUGUAGCGGUGAAAUGCAUAGAUAUCACGCAGAACUCCGAUUGCGAAGGCAGCAUACCGGCUCCACACUGACGCUGAGGCACGAAAGCGUGGGUAUCGAACAGGAUUAGAUACCCCGGUAC